GCGACGGUGAUGCCGAAUCCGUGCAGCAAGGAGGCUCGGAGCCGGGGAACCAAUCGACCUUCGACGAAGGUCUGGGGUGAAUCGGCGCGCCAGCGCCGUAGGGCAACUUCCCUGCCCGAAUCCGUCAGCUAACCCGGUAGGCGCAAGCGGAAGACCAA
rnacentral:sRNA from 1 species